rnacentral:rRNA from 1 species
ACGCCUAACACAUGCAAGUCGAACGGAGUAGCAAGAGGUUACUUGAGCUAACUUAGUGGCGGACGGGUGAGUAACACGUGAGUAACCUGCCUUCAGUGGGGAAUAACGGCUGGAAACGGUACGCUAAUACCGCAUAAUGUCUUGGAGUCGCAUGACUCUGAGACCAAAGAUUUAUCGCUGAAAGAUGGACUCGCGCCCGAUUAGCUAGUUGGUGAGGUAAUGGCUCACCAAGGCGACGAUCGGUAGCCGGACUGAGAGGUUGAACGGCCACAUUGGGACUGAGACACGGCCCAGACUCCUACGGGAGGCAGCAGUGGGGGAUAUUGCACAAUGGGGGAAACCCUGAUGCAGCCGAUGCCGCGUGUAGGAAGACGGUCCUCUGGAUUGUAAACUACUGUCUUCAGGGACGAUAAUGACGGUACCUGAGGAGGAAGCUCCGGCUAACUACGUGCCAGCCGCUGC